CAACAAGGAAGAUUCAUCUGGGGGUGCCACACCUAGAGCCUUGCCCCAUCCCAGUCAAAUCUGGAUGCUGACAUUUUAGGGAAAAACUAGGCUGAUACAUAUUGCUGGGAGGGGAAAAUCUGAUAGAGACCCUAUCAUGUAUAAAUAUAUAAUUUCUAUAAAGAUUUUGUAAGCAAAGCUGAGUUGAAUGAGGGAGUUUCCUGAUGACUUUGAUGAGAACUUUGGAAGAAGAUGGAAGGAACAGCAUGAGAAAAGUCAGAGAGGAGGCUGAUUGCUUAGUUGAUGCAUUAUGGGGAUUGCUUUAUCUUCAACAAAUCAAAAUUGUGGCUGACCCAAAGGGCAAUGGAGAUACACGUGGUGAUUGUAAAUAGACUUUAGCAUAUUGCUGGUGAUGACUUGCAUGAAGGAAAUGUAAAAAUACUGUCCAAAGGAUGCAUGAAUGAAAAAAGGAGGUUUACCAGUUGUGGAUCAUGAUCAAGGUUUGAUGAAUGGAGGAACAUCAUAAUGGAGAAGAAUCUACACAGUAACAGCAAUAAUGUACAGAUUAUCAAUUGGGAGAGAGAGUCUUAGGAACAGUGACCAACCCAAUGACCAACCACAAUUCCAAAGGAUUCUUGAUGAAACAUGCUACCCUCCUCCAAAUAAAGAGCUGACAGACUCAAAGGGCUGACUAAAG
rnacentral:lncRNA from 1 species